GAAAGAUUUCUGGGUGGAGAAUUUCUAGGACAAUAAGUAUUGUCAACACCAUGAACAUUAUUUGAAGAAUUAUUAUAGAACGUCAUGGUUGAUAACACAUCCUUUGAAUGAGACUUAUAAGUAGUGUUGAUAUAUUUCAGGUAGUGAGAGCCUACUGAAUAUACAAAUUAAAUACUAUGAUUGUAAAGUACUGAUACAAUCAUCACUAGGUGGUAUUAAUGGUAUAGGAAUGUAAUUCAUGAAUACAAAUGACCUAAAGAUUUUAAGGUUGCUAGAAACCAUAUGAUUCAUGGAAAUAUAAGUGCACGGAUAUAC